UAUAUAUGGUGAUAGUGACAUAAAUGGUGAGCUCAAAUGUGAGGAUUGACCCGCUAAACGCGGAUAACUACGAUACCUGGAAGUUGCACAUGCGGGCAAUUCUUGUGAAAGCUGACUUAUGGAGCUACGCAUCUGGAGCUAUACCUUUUCCAAACGACAAUAACGCAGCGAAGUGGAUACAUUUCGAUCAGAAGGCCUGUGUGUGUGCUAUCAGAACUGGGUCUGAUAACUGAAUGCGAAACUUCACACGAAAUGUGGAAAAAGUUAAAGUCUACGUUCCAGUCAAAGGGUCCUGCGCGAAAAGCCACCCUACCGAAACGUAUUGCACUCGCCCGCAUGAAGGAGGACGAUAACGUUCGCGAACAUCUAAACGAAUUUUUCCAUACUGUCAACUAAUUUAAGGAAAUAAAUGUUGGGGAUGAUUUAUUAACUAUAUUGCUUCUUUAUAGUUUACCAGAUUCGUUUGAGACGUUCCGAUGUGCGCUGGAAACUCGAGAUGAACUUCCCAAGCCAGACAUUUUAAGAGUUAAGAUACUGGAAGAAGAACAAUCCUGGCAAGCAAAAGAAGCAGCAACGGAGCAUAACGUGUUAAUUGCUCAACGAAGAACAAACAUCAGAUAUACAAAUGAUGGUACUCGUAAGUCUUCUAACAAUCACAACAAAAAGUCAACAAAAGAAAAGCAAGAUCAACGAACUUGCUACAAGUGCGGCGAAGUUGGUCACAUAUCGCCAAAUUGUCGAUCAAGACAAAAGAUAAAAAACUACAACACAACUACAGGAACGAAAAAAGAGAACUUCGAAAAAUCCAUGUUAUUCGAAUCGGCAUGUACAACAGUGGUCGGCAUGAGAGGAUCUGUCACUGUGUUGGUGAGCACGAAAAAAAAGUAGCCCAGUGAGAAAUUGGAAUGAAAAUUAAGCAUCUAAUCUUUUAAGGAUAUAUUCCCUAUUAUCUUUAAAAGACUUGGAAUAUAAAAGGCAUUGCAUGGUACCAAAGGCAUUUAGAAUCAUAAAAUAUUUCUCGCAAGGCAUAUUUGGUUUUGCGCUAUAAUAUUGCGUGAUGUUAAUUCGUUGCUGGCUCGACAACGACUGAACGAUAGAGCGUAAGCGUACGUGUGAAGUUAGUUUGCACAAUUGUGCUAAGAAAUGCCGACCACGAAAAAGAGCGAAUUCAAUAACUUUAGAGCAUACAUGGGCGUUUCGACUCACAUGAGCAGUUACUCUCAGCACACGUAUUCUUACGCUCUUAUUUCAGUCGCUAUUGAGAGCGAAAAAACCAGUUUUGCACUGUGGGAUAAUGAAUUGAUUUUCCUGCCAGUUGCGCUGCAGACAGCAACGAGGUAACAUAGGUAGUCGGUAUGUUGAUGUUUUUUUAUGCCCUAGUAUAUUUUUGCCCCAUUUGAAAUGUAUAACAUAAAUAAAAUGUUAUAAUUUCAGAUACCUUUGGUGGGGUAAAUUGGGAGUUGACUACUUUUAUUAGCAAACUAGUUAGCGGAAAUUUUAAGAUAAAGUUAAAAUUGUGAAGUUCUCGAGAAAUCAUGCUUAAAAAUAAGGCUUGCCUCGGCAUCGGAAAUCAUAAAGCAAUAUUUGUCAAUCAUUUUGAACAAACAAAUAUAGGUACGUGCAUAAAUAGUAUCAUAAAACAAUCAAGCGGCGCACGAUAUUGCUUCGCUGUUGUUUGUUAAUCAACUGACUGCAAAUGUUCUUUGUCCCAUGGUAGCCACUUUACGCUCGCGGUUACCAAUACAUCCAUACAUUUCAUUUGCCCAUCUCUGCUUUAGAGCAGAGGUCGGCAUUUCUUAGCACAAUUGUGCAAACUAACUUCACACGUACGCUUACUCUCUAUCGCACAGUAUAUAUAUAUACUGAGCUCUAUCGUUCAGUCGUGCCAGCACCGAAUUAACAUCACGCAAGACCAGGAAUAAUGGGAUGCCCAACUCCUCUCUCACUGGAAGUGAGAGAACAAUUGCUAAACGUCAAAACCACCUAAACUUUGACAGUUGACUGGAUUGGGGAGGUUUUGACGUUUAGAAUUGGAAACGAGCGAUGGCCAGAUUGAAAUCUUACCAAAAAAAUAUAUGAACGGAGGGAUUUGUUGCAUCGUUCAGGACCUCUUAUCAAAAAUGCAAAACAAUGAAAAUUAAAUAAAUUUGUGAAAUUUAAAGGUAUUUGAUGAAAUGUUUUGUAAUUUGAAACAUCAUAGUAUUACUUUCAAUUGAAAAUUAUUAAAAACUUUUAAUAAUUGAGAGCUAACAACCUUAAAUCCUAUUAUUGGGUAUUGAAAGGACAAAAGUCAGUUGUUAUAAUAUUCUUUAAAAAGAUUUAAAUAGUUUCUCCAUAUAAUAAAUAACCACUAUUUAGUAAUUUUUAUUCGUACUAAAUGUUGGGUAUUGGGUUAAUAAAUGCCCAAAAAUUGUUAUUUUGUUCGAUCUGGCCAUAAUGAAAAAUGUUAUAAAAAACGCUUAUUUUGGGGCGCUCUCACACUGGAAUAAGUUGGGCAUCCCAUUAUUCCUGCGCAAGACUAUAGCGCAAAACCAAAUAUGCCUUUUAUGUUCCAAGCCUUUUAAAGAUAAUAGGGAAUAUAUACUUAAAAGACAUUUUGUUAAUUUUCAUUAUACUAUUAAUUAUUUAGAUUAGAUGCUUAAUUUUAAUUCCAAUUUCUCACUGGGCUACUUUUUUUCGAGCUCACCAACACAGUGACAGAUCCUCUCAUGCCGACCACUGCUUUAGAGAGAUUAGCAAGACUCUCAGCUUAGCAAACAACAACACGGCUGAAAUCACGGGUAUAGGUACCGUUAAAGUUAUUAUCAACGAAAAUAAUCAGCCCUAUUCUGCAUUUCUACUCGAAUCGAAAUUUUCUCCGAUUGGCAACUUUGGUAUUCUGCGUUUCGAUUCAAUUUCGAAAAUUCCAAUUCUAUGUAUUCUGCAUUGCGAUGGUAAUUACGUUUUUGUACGUUGAAGUUUUGUUGGCGGAAAGCCGUUAUAUAUUCAUUUUCGUGCAUUUGGAUAAAAUAAUUUCCUCAAAUAUGUCAAAAGUAACAACGGCAGAGCAAUACGAAAAAUUGUAUGAUAUGAUGGCCACGAAAAGAGAUAUUGCGCAGGGUUUCCAAAAGCGACCGAAGGAAGAAGUACAGGAGUUUUGGGAGGAGGUUGCAAGGAAUUUAAAUGCACUUGGCCCACCAACAAAAAAUUCCAAUACAUGGAGAAAGGUCUGGAUUGACUGGAAAUGCUACAUG